UGUCAGAACCCAAAUGCAUAUGGACUUGAUAGAGCCUGGAGAGUGACUGAAAUCACAGCUGCCCAACUUAUAUGCGGAAGUCUCCUACCGAGGGAAGAAAACCACAGAUUCUCAGAGCCAGAAGGAAACUGCAAAGCAGGCCUUCUCCUCCUCAUUCCAACUGAUUCUGAGGGGCCCAUCAUCGCAUUGUCUCCACCCAAACCACCACUGCAGAGUAGUAUGAAAUAUUUGUAUUCACUUAAAGUGGAAAGACAAUCUGCACACCUGGAGGAGAUAUUUGCAACAUUUACAACUGGCAAAGGUUUAUUACCAAGAAUAUAUAAAGAAGUCUUAUAAAUCAACAAGAAAGAAGAAAAACAACAGAAAGAAAUGGACAAAAGAAAAAGCAUUUUAUAAAAGAAGAAAUGCUCAUGGCCAGCAAACAUAUGGAGAUGUUCAAACUCAUGUGAAAUGUAAAUCAAGACCCAAUAAGAUAAGCUUUUAUGUCCACUAAAAUGGCAAAAUGUUAAUAGCUAGACAAUCCAAGUAUUGGAGAACAUACAGAUCCAUGGGAUCUCUUACAUAUCGCUUAUAAGGGUACGCAUUAGGACAUAGGACACUCACUUAGAAAAAGUGUGGCAUUAUCUUGCAAAAUCAAACACUCACAUAGGCUGCUGUGCAGGUCCUGAGUCUGUUUGCCCUCAGAUCCACUCUUUGCUAUGCCCUUAUGUCCUCAGUUUUCCAGCAGGAUCUCGGCAGCCAUGUCAUCUUGCUUCCAGUUGGGCUCAGUUAAUAAAAGAGAGAGAAUGGAAGGUGGAAAGAAGGGAGAAGCCAAGGUGUUUCUCACCAGCACCCUCCCCUUCUCCUCUCAGGUAACAUCCCCUGUGGUGGCCACAGCUCUCCGAUGGGUCCAGUUCCCACAGGAAAGCCAGCCAUGAUUCUAACUUCUACCAGGUGACCCUGGCCCUGGGCUCUGGUGACACUAACCUUUUGUUUCUCUAGUCCUGGGGAGGGGUAGUAACAGCUUCCUGCUAUUAUUAAUUUAUGGAUUGCCUCAUUGCCUCCUGUGAGGCUUCUCAGCUAUUGAUUACCAUACUACUCAGCAAUAAAAAGGAAAAAACUAUUGAUACAUGCAACAACUUUGUCGGACCACAAGAGAAUUUUACCAACUAAAAAAGCCAGUCUCACAUUGUUACAUACUAUAUGAUUCCACUUACAUAACCUUCUAGAAAUGACAAAAUUAUUGAGGUGAAGAACAGAUUAGUGGUUGCCAAGGGUUAAAGACAGGGUUGGGGUUGGAGAAAGAAAUCAGUGUACCUAAAAAGAAGCAGCCAGAGGGAUCUUUGUGGUGACGGGACAGUUCUGUAUCUUGAUUGUGGUGGUGGUUAUACAAAUCUACGUGUAAUAAAGUUUUAUGUGUGCAUAGAACUAUGUACAUACUCAAACAAAUGCAUGUAACCCUGGUGAAAUCUGAAUAAGGUCUGUGGAUUGUGCCAAUACCAGUGACCUGGUUUUGAUACUGUAUUAUAGCUAUCUAAGACAUUAUUAUCAGGAGAAAAUGGGGGAAAGGUACAUGUACUUUUCUGUACUAUUUUUGCAACUUCUCGUGAAUCUGUUACUAUUUCAAAAUUAAAAGUAUCUGAAAAUCCAUAGAGUGGUUUCUGUUUUUUCUGAUUAGACCCUGACUGAUACUCCUACAACCCCACAAUUCCUUCCGCUCCUAGAUGUAUAUUUACCUAGCAGAUAGGCCCCAGAGAAACUCAUAAAUGCAUGUGUAGCAGUUAUUCAUGACAGAAGAAAACCCAACCACUCAUAAAUAGGAAAAUAAAUAAAUUGUGGUACAAACACGA
rnacentral:lncRNA from 1 species